AUUGAGCGCUGGCGGCAUGCUUUACACAUGCAAGUCGAACGGUAACAGGGAGCUUGCUCCGCUGACGAGUGGCGAACGGGUGAGUAAUGCGUCGGAACGUGCCGAGUAGUGGGGGAUAACGCAUCGAAAGGUGUGCUAAUACCGCAUACGAACUGAGGUUGAAAGUGGGGGACCUUCGGGCCUCACGCUAUUCGAGCGGCCGACGUCUGAUUAGCUAGUUGGUGAGGUAAAGGCUCACCAAGGCGACGAUCAGUAGCGGGUCUGAGAGGAUGAUCCGCCACACUGGGACUGAGAGACGGCCCAGACUCCUACGGGAGGCAGCAGUGGGGAAUUUUGGACAAUGGGCGCAAGCCUGAUCCAGCCAUGCCGCGUGUGUGAAGAAGGCCUUCGGGUUGUAAAGCACUUUCAGCGAGGAGGAAGGGUUAGUCGUUAAUAGCGGCUAAUUUUGACGUUACUCGCAGAAGAAGCACCGGCUAACUCUGUGCCAGCCGCCGCCGUAACAC
rnacentral:rRNA from 1 species